AUUGAACGCUGGCGGCAGGCCUAACACAUGCAAGUCGAACGGUAACAGGAAGCAGCUUGCUGCUUUGCUGACGAGUGGCGGACGGGUGAGUAAUGUCUGGGAAACUGCCUGAUGGAGGGGGAUAACUACUGGAAACGGUAGCUAAUACCGCAUAAUGUCGCAAGACCAAAGAGGGGGACCUUCGGGCCUCUUGCCAUCGGAUGUGCCCAGAUGGGAUUAGCUAGUAGGUGGGGUAAAGGCUCACCUAGGCGACGAUCCCUAGCUGGUCUGAGAGGAUGACCAGCCACACUGGAACUGAGACACGGUCCAGACUCCUACGGGAGGCAGCAGUGGGGAAUAUCGCACAAUGGGCGCAAGCCUGAUGCAGCCAUGCCGCGUGUAUGAAGAAGGCCUUCGGGUUGUAAAGUACUUUCAGCGGGGAGGAAGGGAGUAAAGUUAAUACCUUUGCUCAUUGACGUUACCCGCAGAAGAAGCACCGGCUAACUCCGUGCCAGCAGCCGCGGUAAUACGGAGGGUGCAAGCGUUAAUCGGAAUUACUGGGCGUAAAGCGCACGCAGGCGGUUUGUUAAGUCAGAUGUGAAAUCCCCGGGCUCAACCUGGGAACUGCAUCUGAUACUGGCAAGCUUGAGUCUCGUAGAGGGGGGUAGAAUUCCAGGUGUAGCGGUGAAAUGCGUAGAGAUCUGGAGGAAUACCGGUGGCGAAGGCGGCCCCCUGGACGAAGACUGACGCUCAGGUGCGAAAGCGUGGGGGAGCAAACAGGAUUAGAUACCCUGGUAGUCCACGCCGUAAACGAUGUCGACUUGGAGGUUGUGCCCUUGAGGCGUGGCUUCCGGAGCUAACGCGUUAAGUCGACCGCCUGGGGAGUACGGCCGCAAGGUUAAAACUCAAAUGAAUUGACGGGGGCCCGCACAAGCGGUGGAGCAUGUGGUUUAAUUCGAUGCAACGCGAAGAACCUUACCUGGUCUUGACAUCCACGGAAGUUUUCAGAGAUGAGAAUGUGCCUUCGGGAACCGUGAGACAGGUGCUGCAUGGCUGUCGUCAGCUCGUGUUGUGAAAUGUUGGGUUAAGUCCCGCAACGAGCGCAACCCUUAUCCUUUGUUGCCAGCGGUCCGGCCGGGAACUCAAAGGAGACUGCCAGUGAUAAACUGGAGGAAGGUGGGGAUGACGUCAAGUCAUCAUGGCCCUUACGACCAGGGCUACACACGUGCUACAAUGGCGCAUACAAAGAGAAGCGACCUCGCGAGAGCAAGCGGACCUCAUAAAGUGCGUCGUAGUCCGGAUUGGAGUCUGCAACUCGACUCCAUGAAGUCGGAAUCGCUAGUAAUCGUGGAUCAGAAUGCCACGGUGAAUACGUUCCCGGGCCU
rnacentral:rRNA from 1 species